AAUAGAUACCCGGGUAGUCCACGCCGUAAACGAUGAGUGCUAAGUGUUAGGGGGUUUCCGCCCCUUAGUGCUGCAGCUAACGCAUUAAGCACUCCGCCUGGGGAGUACGGUCGCAAGACUGAAACUCAAAGGAAUUGACGGGGGCCCGCACAAGCGGUGGAGCAUGUGGUUUAAUUCGAAGCAACGCGAAGAACCUUACCAGGUCUUGACAUCCCAUUGACCACUAUGGAGACAUAGUUUUCCCUUCGGGGACAACGGUGACAGGUGGUGCAUGGUUGUCGUCAGCUCGUGUCGUGAGAUGUUGGGUUAAGUCCCGCAACGAGCGCAACCCUUGUUCUUAGUUGCCACCAUUUAGUUGGGCACUCUAAGGAGACUGCCGGUGACAAACCGGAGGAAGGUGGGGAUGACGUCAAAUCAUCAUGCCCCUUAUGACCUGGGCUACACACGUGCUACAAUGGACGGUACAAACGGUUGCCAACCCGCGAGGGGAGCUAAUCCGAUAAAACCGUUCUCAGUUCGGAUUGUAGGCUGCAACUCGCCUACAUGAAGCC
rnacentral:rRNA from 1 species